rnacentral:pre_miRNA from 1 species
CGUGAGUGCUUUCUCUCCGUCCCGAAAAAAAGACAAACCCUGUUUUAUAUGAAAUUUUUUUAUAAUUCGUAUUUUCAUUGUUGUUAGAUAAUAAAACAUGAUUAAUAUUUUAUGUGUGACUUGUCUUUUUAAUUUUUUCAUAAUUUUUUUAAAUAAGACGGACGGUCUACACGGAAACCAGAGUUUGUCUUUUUU